rnacentral:rRNA from 1 species
GACGAACGCUGGCGGCGUGCUUAACACAUGCAAGUCGAACGGAAAGGCCCCCACUUUUUUGGUGGGGGUGCUCGAGUGGCGAACGGGUGAGUAACACGUGGGUGAUCUGCCCUGUACUUCGGGAUAAGCUUGGGAAACUGGGUCUAAUACCGGAUAGGACCAUGGUUUAGUGUCUCAUGGUGGAAAAAUUAUUGUUUUGGUGCAGGAUGAGCUCGCGGCCUAUCAGCUUGUUGGUGGGGUAAUGGCCUACCAAGGCGUCGACGGGUAGCCGGCCUGGGAGGGUGGACGGCCACAUUGGGACUGAGAUACGGCCCAGACUCCGACGGGAGGCAGCAGUGGGGAAUAUUGCACAAUGGGCGCAAGCCUGAUGCAGCGACGCCGCGUGGGGGAUGACGGCCUUCGGGUUGUAAACUCCUUUCGUUAGGGACGAAGCCGCACCUUUUUUGGGUGUGGUGACGGUACCUUUGUUAAGAAGCACCGGCUAACUACGUG